GGAAGGAAGGAAGGAAGGAAGGAGAAGAGAAAGGAAGGAAGGAAGAAAAGUUCAAAGAAAAAUUCAAAUCUCUCUCCUAGCCUUACUCUCUUCAGCUCUUCAGAGGACCAAAGUCCACAGCCUCAACUCACUGAAGAGCCCACGUCCUGACUGUGGUCUAGCAGCUUGCUAAAUAGUCCCAUGACUUAGGGGGUACAGGCUGACUUCCUUCCAUCAUUUUGUUGUUUCAACUUCGGCAUGGUGGCUGUGUCUAAAUGAACUGCUAUUUCAGCCAGCAGUUACCAGCCUGCUUCCCUAGCAUUGACCUGGCUCCGCAGGCCACAGCCUGAUGGGAACUCUGUUCUGCAGGCCCUGCAGACAGUGCUCUGUCACAGAUGCUAAAGGUAACUUUAACUAAAUCUCGAUUGUUCUAGCUAUACAUAAGACUCAAGAUUCAAAGGUUGGGGUGAAAACCUGCUAGCUCAGAGAGGCUGGGUCACAGCUAGCUAGCCUUCUCUCCUUGCUUGCUUCUGUUAGUAUUCAAACAUCUGCACUGGCCUGACCUUGGGGUGUACAUCCCCAGCUGUACCCCACUAAGAGCACCACCUGUGCACAUUCCCUACAUUCUCUUUUAAAGGCCUGCUCACCUUCCAUCCCUCCUUUCUCUUACUGUCUAUCUGUAUGUCCGUCCAUCCAUGUGCCUCUCUCUCCCUUCCCCUCCUCUCUUCUCUUCUGUCCCCAGAGGCCACUACCCCCUCCCUUUUCCCCCUUUUCCCAUUCACUUUCCUCUAAUAAAGAACCCAUCCAUCUGAGCUCUGUCACAUGGCGUCUUUCUCUCUCAUACCAGUUUUUUAUAAUUUAUAGCAACUUCUGCUUUGCCAAACCUGAAAAAAAUUGUGCCACUCUAAAUCCUGCCUUGCUGCUUCCUCUGUCUUUCUGUUUCUUCUAGAUGCCCGCUGGGGAUGGAUCUAUGAUUACUUUCUGUCAACUAGUUGCUAACUCAGCCUCCUGAUCCAAGAAAUGAUUUCCAUCUUUACUGGAGAAAACUAUUCAAACCAGCCUCUAUACGUGCAGAACUGGAAAGUCAACAGAAAAUCAGGAAACUGGAGUGACUCAGACUGGAGGUGCCUGCCGAGUUAACUCAUUCCAUAGCAUGGACUGACACGGACAUAAUUUAAAGCCAGAAGGCUUGUCCAAAGUUCCAGCUCUGAGUGGAGGUUGUCUGAUUUUGAUUGAUGGCAUAGGACCAGGAGUUUGGAACACUUAUUGUGACUGAACCAGGACUCAUCACGGCCAGGCAGAUGGCAUGCCGCAUUCCUGUGAUUUUUAUAAUUCUAGCUAAGGCCCUUGGACAUGAGAAGCUCUUGGAUUCGGAACUCUUCAGUUGCUUCUGGACCCUAUACCGGCUCCUAUGACCCCAAUACAUCUGGCUAUUUCCUCAGACCACAAAUCUCAAAAUAGACAACCAGGAACCUCAAUGAACCAGGAUGGUUCCAACCAGUAGGCAGAAUCCCACUCAGAUUCUUACCGAGUAGCGAGGCCAGGAGGGGCUGGCCUGACCUUAGCUCCAGGGGUUUGGCAAACCCUGAAUAGGUCCUUCGGUAUCAAUAAGUUUUCCAAAUUAAAGUUUUCUUUGAAGGCAAACCAUAAACUUAGAGGGAGUUCUAUAACACUAUAUCUUUAUUAAUGCACUAUUCUAUCUUCGUGAUUUGUACCUUUCUUUUCUUCUAUUUUUCUUUUUUGGACAUAUAUGUCAUAGAUUUGCUUUAUUCAUAGCAAAGUAAUCAUGAAGAGAGGGUUAAGAAUCAUCAAAUAGGAUUAAUAUAGUAAAAAUGACCAGCCUUCCAAAAGUAAUCCACAAUUUCAAUGCCAUAUCCAUAAAAAUUUCAACAUGUUUCUUCACAGAACUUGAAAGGACAACUUCCAAUAUCCAGGAGGAUAACUAUAUGAUUUUCUUUAGG